GAUGAAGAACGUAGCGAAAUGCGAUAAGUAAUGUGAAUUGCAGAAUUCAGUGAAUCAUCGAAUCUUUGAACGCACAUUGCGCCCCUUGGUAUUCCGAAGGGCAUGCCUGUUCGAGCGUCAUUAUCACCCCUCAAGCCCCGGCUUGGUGUUGGACUUAGUUACGGAUCACCAUAACUGGCCUCAAAGAUAGUGGCGGCGCCCCAGAGGGAACCGGUACGAGGAGCUUCCAGUUAAGCAUGUACGCGGGACGACUUUGCGGGCGACGGUCUUUUUCAUUUCUCAAGUGUUGACCUCGGAUCAGGUAGGAAUACCCGCUGAACUUAAGCAUAUCAAUAAGCGGAGGA
rnacentral:misc_RNA from 1 species